UCCCUGGUGGCUCAGAUGGUAGAGAAUCUGCCUGCAAUGCAGGAGACCCAGGUUUGAUCUCUGGGUCAGGAAG
rnacentral:tRNA from 1 species